rnacentral:rRNA from 1 species
AAAUUGAAGAGUUUGAUCAUGGCUCAGAUUGAACGCUGGCGGCAGGCCUAACACAUGCAAGUCGAACGGUAACAGGAAGCAGCUUGCUGCUUCGCUGACGAGUGGCGGACGGGUGAGUAAUGUCUGGGAAACUGCCUGAUGGAGGGGGAUAACUACUGGAAACGGUGGCUAAUACCGCAUAACGUCGCAAGACCAAAGAGGGGGACCUUCGGGCCUCUUGCCAUCAGAUGUGCCCAGAUGGGAUUAGCUUGUUGGUGAGGUAACGGCUCACCAAGGCGACGAUCCCUAGCUGGUCUGAGAGGAUGACCAGCCACACUGGAACUGAGACACGGUCCAGACUCCUACGGGAGGCAGCAGUGGGGAAUAUUGCACAAUGGGCGCAAGCCUGAUGCAGCCAUGCCGCGUGUAUGAAGAAGGCCUUCGGGUUGUAAAGUACUUUCAGCGGGGAGGAAGGUGUUGUGGUUAAUAACCGCAGCAAUUGACGUUACCCGCAGAAGAAGCACCGGCUAACUCCGUGCCAGCAGCCGCGGUAAUACGGAGGGUGCAAGCGUUAAUCGGAAUUACUGGGCGUAAAGCGCACGCAGGCGGUCUGUCAAGUCGGAUGUGAAAUCCCCGGGCUCAACCUGGGAACUGCAUUCGAAACUGGCAGGCUUGAGUCUUGUAGAGGGGGGUAGAAUUCCAGGUGUAGCGGUGAAAUGCGUAGAGAUCUGGAGGAAUACCGGUGGCGAAGGCGGCCCCCUGGACAAAGACUGACGCUCAGGUGCGAAAGCGUGGGGAGCAAACAGGAUUAGAUACCCUGGUAGUCCACGCCGUAAACGAUGUCUACUUGGAGGUUGUGCCCUUGAGGCGUGGCUUCCGGAGCUAACGCGUUAAGUAGACCGCCUGGGGAGUACGGCCGCAAGGUUAAAACUCAAAUGAAUUGACGGGGGCCCGCACAAGCGGUGGAGCAUGUGGUUUAAUUCGAUGCAACGCGAAGAACCUUACCUGGUCUUGACAUCCACGGAAGUUUUCAGAGAUGAGAAUGUGCCUUCGGGAACCGUGAGACAGGUGCUGCAUGGCUGUCGUCAGCUCGUGUUGUGAAAUGUUGGGUUA